rnacentral:rRNA from 1 species
CAUGUCUAAGUAUAAGCAAUUAUACCGCGAAACUGCGAAUGGCUCAUUAAAUCAGUUAUCGUUUAUUUGAUAGUACCUUACUACAUGGAUAACCGUGGUAAUUCUAGAGCUAAUACAUGCUAAAAAUCCCGACUUCGGAAGGGAUGUAUUUAUUAGAUUAAAAACCAAUGCCCUUCGGGGCUCUCUGGUGAUUCAUAAUAACUUCUCGAAUCGCACGGCCUUGCGCCGGCGAUGGUUCAUUCAAAUUUCUGCCCUAUCAACUUUCGACGGCUGGGUCUUGGCCAGCCGUGGUGACAACGGGUAACGGAGGGUUAGGGCUCGACCCCGGAGAAGGAGCCUGAGAAACGGCUACUACAUCCAAGGAAGGCAGCAGGCGCGCAAAUUACCCAAUCCCGACACGGGGAGGUAGUGACAAUAAAUACUGAUACAGGGCUCUUUCGGGUCUUGUAAUUGGAAUGAGUACAAUUUAAAUCCCUUAACGAGGAACAAUUGGAGGGCAAGUCUGGUGCCAGCAGCCGCGGUAAUUCCAGCUCCAAUAGCGUAUAUUAAAGUUGUUGAGGUUAAAAAGCUCGUAGUUGAACCUUGGGCCUAGCCGGCCGGUCCGCCUCACCGCGUGCACUGGCUCGGCUGGGUCUUUCCUUCUGGAGAACCUCAUGCCCUUCACUGGGUGUGACGGGGAACCAGGACUUUUACUCUGAACAAAUUAGAUCGCUUAAAGAAGGCCUAUGCUCGAAUACAUUAGCAUGGAAUAAUAGAAUAGGACGUGUGGUUCUAUUUUGUUGGUUUCUAGGACCGCCGUAAUGAUUAAUAGGGACAGUCGGGGGCAUCAGUAUUCAAUUGUCAGAGGUGAAAUUCUUGGAUUUAUUGAAGACUAACUACUGCGAAAGCAUUUNCCAAGGAUGUUUUCNUUNAUCAGGAACGAAAGUUAGGGGAUCGAAGACGAUCAGAUACCGUCGUAGUNUUNACCAUNANCUAUGCCGAUUAG